rnacentral:rRNA from 1 species
GAUGAACGCUGGCUACAGGCUUAACACAUGCAAGUCGAGGGGAAACGACGGGGAAGCUUGCUUCCCCGGGCGUCGACCGGCGCACGGGUGAGUAACGCGUAUCCAACCUGCCUCUGACUGAGGGAUAACCCGUCGAAAGUCGGCCUAAUACCUCAUGGCAUCGUCUGCGGGCAUCCAACGACGAUUAAAGAUUUCAUCGGUCAGAGAUGGGGAUGCGUCUGAUUAGCUUGUUGGCGGGGUAACGGCCCACCAAGGCGACGAUCAGUAGGGGUUCUGAGAGGAAGGUCCCCCACAUUGGAACGGAGACACGGUCCAAACUCGUACGGGAGGCAGCAGUGAGGAAUAUUGGUCAAUGGGCGAGAGCCUGAACCAGCCAAGUAGCGUGCAGGAUGACGGCCCUAUGGGUUGUAAACUGCUUUUAUGCGGGGAUAAAGUGAGGGACGUGUCCUUCAUUGCAGGUACCGCAUGAAUAAGGACCGGCUAAUUCCGUG